rnacentral:tRNA from 1 species
GGAAAGUUGGCAGAGUGACCGAAUGCGCUGGACUCGAAAUCCGGUAUGCCUAUUAUGGGCAUCGGGGGUUUGAAUCCCUCACUUUCCG